rnacentral:ncRNA from 1 species
GUCAUCGCGCUUGGUUGAAAAGCCAGUGGCGCGAAGCUACCGUGUGUCGGAUUAUGACUGAACGCCUCUAAGUCAGAAUCCACGCUAGAAGCGGCGCUGGUCACUCCUUGACUGUAUCUUGACCCGCAGUAGGGGUGUCGCUUCGUCACCCCAGGGGCCCGUGUCACUUGCGAACCUCGGCCGGGAAGGGUCUCGGUCGGGGCAGCUUUGAAGUUCAAUUUCAAACGGUCGUUGAAAAGAAUCCUUUGCAGACAACUUAAAUACGCGAUGGGGUAUUGUAAGUGGCAGAGUAGCCUUGCUGCCACGAUCUACUGAGAUUCAUCCCUUCGUCGCCUCGAUUCAG